GACGAACGCUGGCGGCGUGCUUAACACAUGCAAGUCGAACGGAAAGGCCCUGCUUUUGUGGGGUGCUCGAGUGGCGAACGGGUGAGUAACACGUGAGUAACCUGCCCUUGACUUUGGUAUAACUUCAGGAAACUGGGGCUAAUACCGGAUAGGAGCUCCUGCUGCAUGGUGGGGGUUGGAAAGUUUCGGCGGUUGGGGAUGGACUCGCGGCUUAUCAGCUUGUUGGUGGGGUAGUGGCUUACCAAGGCUUUGACGGGUAGCCGGCCUGAGAGGGUGACCGGCCACAUUGGGACUGAGGUACGGCCCAGACUCCUACGGGAGGCAGCAGUGGGGAAUAUUGCACAAUGGGCGGAAGCCUGAUGCAGCAACGCCGCGUGCGGGAUGACGGCCUUCGGGUUGUAAACCGCUUCCGCCUGUGACGAAGCGUGAGUGACGGUAAUGGGUAAAGAAGCACCGGCUAACUACGUG
rnacentral:rRNA from 1 species